UGCCUAAGGUACUCUCGAACAUUCUCAA
rnacentral:sRNA from 1 species